AUGGAAGAAAGCGAUGGAGUAGACUUAAUCGGAAGGUAUAGUGUUGGGUAUGGGCAACAUAUUCGUUGGAAGAUAAUGCCUCUUGACUUCGAGUUUCAUUGGGAAGCAUAUAAAGAGAGUGUGUUGGCCUCACAAGAUAAAUCAUUUGAGUUAUUUGCCACAAAGGCUGUUCGUGCUCGGCUGCACAUUGAUUUGAAUCGGUGUACAUCUUCAUAUGAUGUUAGAAGCCCGGUUCGAGAUUCAACACAUGUCACUCCGGAUGUGCAUGACACAACAAUGAGCCAACCUCCAAUGACCCAAUGUUUGAGCCCCAGCAGGAAUGACCAAGUUGAUAAUGAAGACUUGCACAUGGAUGGUGGUGAGUUUGAGGGUGAUGAAUCGGAGGCUUAUCUUCAUGACCAUUAUGUUGGUGAUGUUGAGGCAAAUUGCAUGGAAGAGGACAUGGACCAUGAGAUUCCAUACAAUAGGUCCUAUGCGUGGGACUCGGAGGAUGAAGGCCCGGAUGAAGAAAUAGAUGAGGAUGGUUUGCCGGCUAAAGAAGCCAAUGCUUUCAAGAAGGUAAUAGGCCGUACUCACAAGACAUCAUUGUUUCGUGAUCUAAGCCUAGCCGAUAAGGCGAUUGUUGAUGGUGGCACAAGUAAAAUUCUUGCACCAAGGUUAACUUCAAAGCGAGAUACCAAAGCAAGUGUGUAUGGUGUUAGUGAAGGAACAAUCUUUGAAAGCUUGACAGAACUUCAAAUAUGGGCCAAGGACUACGCGGUUAAGUUUCAUCGGCCAUUCAUUGUGGAGAAGUCAAACUCGAAAGUGCGUUAUGUGGUCAAAUGUGAGGAACACAAGAAUCAUUGCCCUUGGGUUAUCCGUGCAAGAUGUGUCAAAGGCGGGCCACAAUGGAAGAUUACAAGUUCCGUGUUUCACCAUCGAUGUAGUGGCAAGGAUAUUGAUGAUGCUAAUGUAAAGGAUGAUCACCGUCAAUUGACCUCCAAAUUCAUUGCAUAUCGAUUUUCAGCCUCCAUAAAGAUACUCCUGACAUAUCCCAUUUGGGCUUUGAUGGAGAUGGUGAAGGAGGUUUUUGGGUACGAGGUGAAGUAUGGGAAGGCAUGGAAGGCCAAGCAAGCUGCCUUUGAGAUAUUGUAUGGUGGUUGGGAAGAAUCAUACAACCGCCUCGCGAUGGUGUUGAAAGCGAUGGCGGCAGAAAAUCCUAGCAUGUACUAUAUGGUGGAGCCAGAUGGCGUGAGAACAAGGAUAUACAACGAUGCAAACGUUUGUAUAUUUGGACGUGCAUUUUGGACUUUUGAGCCAUGCAUUAGGGCCUUCAAGCAUUGUAGGCCGGUUAUGUCCGUGGAUGGCACAUUUAACCGGCCAGUUCAAGGGCAUGUUGUUGAUCGCCGUGUGUCGUGGAAUUGUCACGGCAGAUGUCCUAGCGAAAGGACUUAG
rnacentral:rRNA from 1 species